CUUACAUCUUCCUACCAUUCUGAUAUAUAUUUUCUUUUACAGCAUAUGCAGUGAAACAGUUUUUAAAAGAACAUGUGAAGUCCUAUUACUGGAAUAUGCAUGAAAGAAUGAAUUGAACCCAAGGCGUUUGCACUUAGCUACCCCUUCAGCCUUUGUUUCUGGAUAAAUACUGAUCGAAUCCAAACUUCCCCACGUUUCUUAAAGCAACAUGACCCCAGUCACGUCUUACAGAAUACGUUUCCUAAUAUCACAGUAUUCUUCCACACAGUGAACAUUUUCAAGAGAGUUUUGUUGGAUGACUGGACUCCUGCUGAGUUUAAGCAGGUCGACUUAGAUCAGAGGUUCUCUAACCCUGAUGUGCAGCCAGUUGCCCUGGAGGACCAGGAAAACACUGAUGCUGAGACUGGGGUCUGCUUCCAUGACUCAUACUCCUCCCCUCUGGGCAGGCAGAUACUGAGAGGGUCACGGUGAAAACAAGCGCAGAGAACCUGCAGACAAGCGCACCCUUCACGCCCAUGUGCCAUCUCCAGUUCCCGCACUGCCCUGCGCCCGGGGAACCCUCCGGAGAACUGCUUGCUACACUCGACGCAGGCACUCGGGCCCCUCACUCCCAUCUUUCAGAUUUUUUAUUGUAAAAGGUAUAAUAUAAAUGUAAGGAGCAAAACACCUGUGUGCACGUCCAUAAAUGGCAAUAAAGAAUGUCUGUCCACGGGCAUCCUCAGCAGACGCCGGGCACAGAAGAGCACCAAGGGCUUCAAAACCUCCAAGUUGUUCUAGUUCCGUUGUGUGUCUCUUCUCAGCUCAGAACUGUUGUCCUCAAUUUUGUAUUAACUAUUUCUGGAUAUUUUGCUGAAGGCUGUAUUUAUUUUUUAACAAAGUUAAAAUCCCUUUAUAUGAAUUAGAUUACAUUAAUAAAACCAUUCUAGAAAUUGAUUUACGUUGUUUAAUUCUUCUAGCUUUCUUCUUUCAAAAUAUUGUUUGAGACAUCCUUAUGUUGGUAGGAGUAUUUUUAAUUGCUGCAUAGUAGUCUACUGUGUAUGUAUUCAAUAAGGUAUGUGUAUGUCCCUUUAUCAGUGGGUAUUGGGUAAUACGUAUUUGAUUUUGUGUCAUAAACAAUGCUGCCAUAUUUCCUCCAGUGCAUGUUGCCUUGUGCACAUGUGCAAGAACUUCUUUAGAAGUUAAAAUUGCUGGGUCACAACAUGUGCUCAUGUUGGACUUCACUGAAUAAAUGUCAUUUUCCCCCCAAAAUUUAUAUUCACAUAAGAGGUGCAUGCAAGAGCUUCCAUUGUGCCCUGUAUCACUAUCCUAAGAAUGAGGGUGUUUCUAUUAAUCUGGUAUAUAUGAAACAGGAUUGUGUUGUAAUUUUAAAUAAAC